CCAUAUCAUUAAACUUCAAGUCCUCUUUACUUCCAUACGCAACAAUCCCCUUACUCAGGUGUAAGUUUAUGUCAAUUUAUCCACCCACUAUAAGAGAAUCAUGAACAUAUUGCAACACUCUCCAUCAGGAAUCCUUCACGUGUGCGAGACACGGAAGGUACCUUAGAACAACACCAUAUCAACAUACAACUCAUAUCAUCACACCAUACUACAAUUAACGCAUAGGAAAAAAAC
rnacentral:lncRNA from 1 species